GGCCCCACACUGUCUAUCACGGCCCCCACACUGUCUAUCACGGCCCCCACACUGUCUAUCACGGCCCUCACACUGUCUAUCACGGCCCUCAUACUCUCCAUCACGGCCCUCAUACUCUCCAUCACGGCCCUCAUACUGUCUAUCACGGCCCUCAUACUGUCUAUCUCCUAACCUGUAAUUUAACCUAAUUUAACCCUCAUGCACCCCAGCGGUUCCUAAAUACGGGGUCGCUGCUGCACCAUAAGGGGGUCACAUACAGGUCAUGGGGUCGCUGGAGUCACCUGGGUUGUACAGGUAUUUUAUUAUUUGUUAUUUUUAGUCCAGGUGUCAAGGACUAAUUAACGUGGUCGACAGGUGUAGUCUCGUUAAGUCGGGACCACAUAGUUACUCUCCUUGUGUCAGGUCAUGUCAGUCCAGGUCAGGUCAGAUCAGGUCAGUCUACCUUUGAACUGUUCUCAUCUCAGUUCACCCUCUACUUCUCACAGAUGCGGACAGAAAAUGGCAGCAAAUUUCAAUGAUAAAUUCCCCGAGUUGCUUACGGAGUCUUUUCAUUUCGUUCAGAUUCCGUCCAAGAGAGUGUGGCUCUUUUGGUCCAAGAGUGUGACUCUUUUUUGCUCUAAUUAUCAGAAUUACGGGUUGACAACGACGCAAGGGUGAACUGACGUUAUCAGACUAUAGCAACUGAUUGGCGGACUUUUAUCAUUGAGGGAUAAACGUUUAAAAAUAGAGUUAUCUAGGUUCAAGUGAAACGCCUACUACGACUGAAACAACUAACGGUAAUGGUGCUUAUAAAUAUCUAAUUCCUUAACCGUAUGUCAAACUUCAACUUAAAGAAUUUAUAUACUAUGAGAAAUUAGUUAAAUGAUGACGGACACAUAGAUAUGAGAUAUGACACCCUUGUAAAUAAGAAAAUUAUGUUACUUAACCACGCAAUAAUAACCCCUGUUAUAGAACAUUUAAUGGUGAUAUAAACAUCGAUUUGUAACCUGUUUCAGCAUGUGUUUAUUUUUACACAAUUAUGUAAUAAGUUUUCCUAAUUUGUCACAGAUAAAAACAUUAGGUGAUUCAAUGUUUACAUCACACACACAGAGCUUAUAUUUAUCAGUGUGGUUUUGUGUCAUGGUGAUGAAAUAUCCGUGUGUGUGUGUGUGUGUGUGUGUGUGUGUGUUACUUGGAGUCGCAUUAAACAGACGAUAACAUUAGAUUAGGGUCGGGCUGGGAAAUGCUUGGGAACCACCUCACCUCACUUAAUCAUCAUCUAACCAAACUUAACCAGCCUGGUCCUGACAACAGUUCAACAGUUUAUCCCGUAAAGAGGUAUGAGUGCUGGGGCCUUCCUACUGGCCGCUGCAAACCUCCCCUCCUAAGACACACACCCAAGUCCCCGGGCCCUCUGUGAUGGAGAAGCCUUUGUGGUGUGUAUCCGAUUUAUUACAAGAGUAACUGCGGCAAAACUUAUAGCAGAUCAACACGGCCGUCACCUCCUACAUCCCUGAGAACAAGCUACCAGACUGAACAACACUAUACCCAGAGAAGGAUGGUAAACAGCUUCUACUUGGCUCCUCCCAGAAUGCACCUGAGGUAGAGAAAUAAGGAUAACACAUUUACUACAAAGUUGCUAAGCUUGUUCCACAUGAUGAGGAUGGGAGACAGGAGAGUACCCAGGAGGACGCUCAGGCGGAGAUAGCAUGCGAGGAGACCCAGAAGACCAGAGGAAGACCAAGUUAAAGAUGGGAAGAGCCUUAAGAUGACCUCGACGAGAAAGAAACGACAGAGCUGGUCACAGUGAGUUGAAGACUGUUGACCUGACGUGUUGACCUUCAAUUACUGUGGAGUACUGAGGUGUUAAGAAACAUCAGGUUAUUGAGGAGCCUUAGUCUGCGUAGCUCCUUCUGCGAGUCUCACCCGUGUACCGGACUCCUGUGUCUGAUACCCAAGGAGAAGUCUAGUCUGACCACACUAACAACACUAGCAGCUGAAGGUCCGUGUGGCACCCAGUCUAGUCUGACCACACUGACAACACCAGCAGCUGAAGGUCCGUGUGGCACCCAGUCUAGUCUGACCACACUGACAACACCAGCAGCUGAAGGUCCGUGUGGCACCCAGUCUAGUCUGACCACACUGACACCAGCAGCUGAAGGUCCGUGUGGCACCCAGUCUAGUCUGACCACACUGACAACACCAGCAGCUGAAGGUCCGUGUGGCACCCAGUCUAGUCUGAC